rnacentral:rRNA from 1 species
AGAUUGAACGCUGGCGGCAGGCCUAACACAUGCAAGUCGAGCGGUAGAGAGGUGCUUGCAUCUCUUGAGAGCGGCGGACGGGUGAGUAAUGCCUAGGAAUCUGCCUAGUGGUGGGGGAUAACGUUCGGAAACGGACGCUAAUACCGCAUACGUCCUACGGGAGAAAGCGGGGGACCUUCGGGCCUCGCGCCAUUAGAUGAGCCUAGGUCGGAUUAGCUAGUUGGUGAGGUAAUGGCUCACCAAGGCGACGAUCCGUAACUGGUCUGAGAGGAUGAUCAGUCACACUGGAACUGAGACACGGUCCAGACCUUCCGACGGGAGCAGCA